rnacentral:lncRNA from 1 species
CAGUCCGAAAUUUUUCGAGGAUGAUAGGGUCAAGGCAAGCUUUUCAGUAGACUCCCAGAAGUCCAAAACGGACCGCUGCUGCUUCCUACCUCUCCAGGAGGUCUCGUAGCCAGGAAAUACUCAGCCUCAAGUUUCGGAACAGACCAAGAUUUUCAGGUUUAUCAGAGCACAGGCUUCUGACGCCCAUCAUCAGGGCCGGUCCCCAUCAAAACCCCAACUAUUCCGUGUGACCUAAAUGAAGCCCCCUUCCUUCUUCCCUGGAAGUCCCCGACCCUGUGUGAGGAACGUAGGGUUACGCAGAACUAGGUUUCACCGAGGCGGCGGGAGAGUGGGGGAUGGGGGGAGGAGGAAGAAAGAGUGAAAAAGACUGACUUGGGCGUAUUGAGAUUGCACUUUCAGUUUACCUAGCCAGAUUGUUCGUGGGAGUUACCCCUGGAGCCGCAGAGAACAGCAGAAUUGACAGAAGGGGGGAGGGUAGACUGACAGACACAGGAAACCCCCUCUUUCUUCCCACUCCUUUGUCACCCACGGUGGCAAAUACUAGGGGACUGGCUGCAGAGAGCUUUGCUACUUGUCUGUUUGACCCUGUCAUCAUCAACUUGAGUAUGGGCACGGGAGUUUGGGGGGGGACACGCAGAGUUCAUGCUUCAGGUACAAAGCAAGUGUUCCUCCACAUGCCUGAUCACACCUCAGCUUUUUUCCAGCAGCGCCAAGUCCCUCAUCUUCUAAUCACCAACAUUUUUUUUUCCA